ACAAUACCCUUUUCCGUUGGCUA
rnacentral:siRNA from 1 species